ACAGGCAAAAAGGCUUAUGGGCAGGAAGAGCAAACACCAGCUAAAGCAGUGCUGCUUCAUGACUAGAGUAAAAAUACAGCCUGCAACUUACUCAGCCUGACAACUCUGAGCACCAGCAUUGGAUGUUGAUUGGCAGAGCAACAACACCUUUGCUUCUUGUAGUACAGAUAUGUGCAUUCAUGUCUGUAAAUUAGGACAAGACAGACCUAUUAAAACAUUCCAAGGACAUACGAAUGAAGUAAAUGCUAUCAAAUGGGACCCAACUGGCAAUCUCUUGGCCUCCUGUUCUGACGACAUGACUUUAAAGAUAUGGAGUAUGAAACAAGACAAUUGUGUCCAUGAUUUGCAAGCACAUAAUAAAGAAAUUUAUACUAUCAAAUGGAGUCCAACAGGACCAGGGACUAAUAAUCCAAAUGCCAACCUUAUGUUAGCAAGUGCAUCCUUUGAUUCUACUGUUAGGUUAUGGGAUGUAGACCGAGGGAUAUGCAUCCAUACCUUGACAAAACACCAAGAGCCUGUGUACAGUGUAGCUUUCAGUCCUGAUGGCAGGUAUCUGGCAAGUGGUUCUUUUGACAAAUGUGUACACAUCUGGAACACGCAGACAGGUGCUCUAGUUCACAGCUAUAGGGGAACAGGUGGAAUAUUUGAAGUUUGCUGGAAUGCAGCAGGAGACAAAGUUGGAGCCAGUGCAUCAGAUGGUUCAGUUUGUGUAUUAGACCUUCGGAAAUAGCGCUACUAGUUGGAAGCCAUGGACCGACUAUGAAUGUGUACAUAGCCAAAAUGACUGUCCCUGACCCAUGUACUGCUAUAGUCCCACUUGAACCAUGGCCAGUCCACUACAGCCAAAUCUAAAAGAAAUAUAUACAUACAGUGUAUAUAAACAAAAUUGCACCCUGAAGAUGACAGAGUUUUGUCACAGCUUGUGAAUUCUGUUCACCAAGUGCUGGAAUCUAAUCUGCUGUGCCCCUAAAAUAGCAUUUAGAAGUUUUGGAUAUGAAAAACAGAAGAGAGAAAAAUAUACAUUAUAAAAGCAGAACAUACAUGUACCAGUUUUUGGAUACUAAAUGACAGCCUUGUUUCUCCCCUUUGAAUCAGCAGACACCAUGGAUUAUAUUCUUUUUUUCCCUUCAGUAGUGAGCAGUUUGUAUGUACAGAGAAAAUGGACUUACAAAAACUUGCAGCAGUAGUUUGUUCUUGCUUUUAAAAUUUCGUUUUUGGUUUAGAUUAUGGAUGCAUGAAGUAAGGGAGUGAAUCAGUUUCUUGUUUAUAUUUUUUUCACCUUUUAAACAAAAAAUUCUUUAAAAUAUUUUAAUGCAUUCUUUUGAAGAGGUAGAUGUUUGGUACAUUUUAUGGCUCCCAGAGCAUAUAUUCAGUUGGUGCAUGUUAUGGAAGGGGGAAUUGGAAAUUAAAUGAAAACCUAUGACUUUGGUCAUGUCAAUCUGUAAGACACAUCAGUAAAAGGGUAUUAUGCUCUGUUGGUUUUGUUUUUUUUGUUUUGCUUUUUUUUUUUUUUUUUCUUUUUUGUUUUUUGGUGAUGUGGCUUAAAUGCAAUAGUUUCUUUUUUGGGACAUAUUUCUGCCAAUUAAAGACUAGAAGGGCACAAAUUUUUUUUUAAUUACCAUAGAGAAGAUACAUUAAAAAAAAAAAUCUUCUGAUGUUUUGUAGCCAUAACUAAAUUAUGGUAAAAAUGUGCACUAUUGUGAAAAGGAGCAACGUAGUUUUGGGUUUUUUGUUGUUUGUUUGUUUUGCUUUGUUUUUUAAGAGAUUAAAAUGUUUCUGGAUAAGGAUUAGCUUCUCGAAGUGUCCAUCAUUCUGUGUAGAAGCUUAAAUAUGUAAUGUAACCAAACUCCAGUAUUAAAAAUCUCUCAUGUUGUUUUCUUUAUACAAAGCAAGAUAACGGCAUAUAACACUGCCAUUACAUGGCAAAAUGUUUGCUACCUUAGUUUAAAAAACAAUCUCAAACAAAAGACUUGCUUCAAGGUGUUUUUAAAUAGCAGUGAUUCAGAAUUUUUUUUAUGAAAGUAUAAUUGCACUAACCUUCUUCCUGCUGCUCUGAUUCUGCAUUUGUGGUACUUGUGACUACGUUUUUUCAAAUAUAGAUAGAUUUAAGCUGCUAAUUUUUUUUUUCAGUAAUCACUACUAUAUCAUGUCUUUUACUCUGUUUAUAAUAUCAAGUAUUUUCUUAAAGAUAUAGAUAUUAAACCUUGUGCUCAUGCAACUUAGAGUAACAUAUACAGACAAAUGAUUGCAUGAGGCCAUGUUUAUAUGUGUGACUAAUAAGGCUUGUCAUGAUUAACAUAAUCCAGGUAUGUCAUUUCUGAAGAGAAUAGUCAUCAAAUUUAUAUCUCGAAGAUUUUAAUUAAGGAAUUGCUUAUUGUUGAGCUUAGCAAAUUAAUAACACUAUUUCUGUCACUAAUUAUUUUGAGGCCUUUUAGUACUAAAAUUUUAACCUGUGUUCUAAGUAGAAACUGAUUUAACCCAAGUAAUGCAGCUUUGAUUUUCAGCAUUCGUUGCUUUGCUAUUUUUACAAAACAGCAUUGAUUGAAGCAAGUCUUGGUUUUACUAAGGUAGGGUAGCAUUUGCUAUUGGUAAAGAGAAUAAAUACACUUAAUUUCACAAUACAUUGUUAUAUGUACCCCAGUUGUUGUUAGUGGGGACUAUGAUACUGUAAUAAUAUUUUUAAAAAUUUACAUCAAGAGAGGCAGUCAUUCACGAUGGUUUUGUGCCAGCUCUUUUUAGGGUUUUGGAUCACAUUAGAGAUAUUUAGAACAUAUUACCCUGUGACUUACGUAGGAAACCUAAUAUGCUGAGUAUCUGGCACUUGAAUUCCUGCUUUUAUUGCUGGAGGUCCACAUCUGUGGUUGACCUCUGUUAUUGUUUAAAAAAAAUAAAUAAAAAUUAAAAAAAUCUGUGCAAUAAUCUUAAAAUGUGCUCCCAGGAAUAGACACAAAUGUUUUGAGUAUCUUUUAAGCUGCAUUUUCCUUUAGUGAUGCAUUUGUCAAUUGCACUGAAUUUAAAUCUGAAAGUCAGAGGUGAUUAUUGAUAGUACUUUUGUAUUUUGAUAUGGACAGUUUAUUCAUUUGCAUACAGUUAUUGACUUUUUCCCAGCUGAUUAAAAGAUAGUCAAGAAAUUCUGCAAUAUAGCUGCUAAAAUAGACAGCUACAUUUUUAUGAUAUUGUCAUCUUUUCUGUUUUUUUUCUUUUUUUUUCUUUAGCUAUUUUACUUAAGCAUAAUAGCCACAAUAGGACAUAUAAAAGAUUAUAAAUACAGAGCUUUAUUAUCCUGACGUCUUGGGUCUUUUAAGUAUAUACUUUUCUGAAAGGUAUCCAUUUUGUAGGCUUGGGUUCUUCAUGAGCAUACGAUUGUUUAUUUUUGCUGCUGUUCUCAACAUCAUCAUUGCCUGCUGAUGUGCCACGAUGCUGCUCCAAUAGACAGAAAUAAGAUUGUCUCUAAUUUGAGCAGUAACAUGAUUGCAAGAGACCAAGUUUCACAGCUUGUAAAGUUCUGUAUUUGGGAUUCUUGCUUAUUUUUCCGCCUGUGUUUUUCUGAGAACUUAUUCCUGAUGAUCAAUUGAAUCCAGUAGUUUUUCUAUGCUAUUUGUUGUUGUAUAAGCUACUGUAAGAAACUUAUCAUAAGGAAAAAUAGAAAGGAAAACUUGAAUCAAUACUCAUUGAUUAAAAUGGAAUAAAGAAAGAGCAGCUGCCACUUUUAAACAACAUAAAGGAAUAUCUUGUUUUGUCUCCGUGUAGGAAAUCCCAUAAGUUCUUAUAUUCGUUCCAAUUCCCAUUUCCUGCCAUUGACCAGAUAACAUCAUUGACUUUCAAAUGACUUUUAGAAGUGGUAACUCUUAAUUUCCUAAUAGAUACUAGAUUGUAUUGAAUUCUGUUUUAAUUAUUCUCUAGGUAAGUAUGUUUUAGGAUUAAAUACCUUUUACAGAUACUGAAAGUGCCUCCUUUUGUGGUGUAAAAAAACAAAUUAUGGUGCAAAAAGUAAUCACUAGAUUGAAUUACAUGAAGGUUUUUUGCUUUUUGACAUACGAAAAUGUCAAGAGAAAGGCCAAAGAUUUGUACUUUUUCACUUACAAAGCACUCCUUUUUCCCUUAAACUUCUUUCUGUCAAAUUAGAUUUAAUGAGAGAGUACUAUUUUUAAGGAGCUAUCUGUUUAUGUAGAAUGAUUUUGUUAAGAGUAAUGUAAACUAUUAUUGAGUAGAGGCCUAAAGAGGACUGUGCAUUUUUGCUAUUUAAAGGAAUCACAAAUGAUCAUACUUAAGUGAGCAAAAAUGACAAGUUUUACUAGCUAAGUAGAGAAAUAAAUCUCAAAUGCAGCGCUACAAUUUUCAUUAUCUUAAGCACAAUGUACAUUUCUACAGAACCUGUGAUUAUUCUCGCAUGAUAAGGAUGGUACUUGCAUAUGGUGAAUUACUACUGUUGACAGUUUCCGCAGAAAUCCUAUUUCAGUGGACCAACAUUGUGGCAUGGCAGCAAAUGCCAACAUUUUGUGGAAUAGCAGCAAAUCUACAAGAGACCCUGGUUGGUUUUUCGUUUUGUUUUCUUUGUUUUUUCCCCCUUCUCCUGAAUCAGCAGGGAUGGAAGGAGGGUAGGGAAGUUACGAAUUACUCCUUCCAGUAGUAGCUCUGAAGUGUCACAUUUAAUAUCAGUUUUUUUUAAACAUGAUUCUAGUUAAAUGUAGAAGAGAGAAAAAAGAGGAAGUGUUCACUUUUUUAAUACACUGAUUUAGAAAUUUGAUGUCUUAUAUCAGUAGUUCUGAGGUAUUGAUAGCUUUCUUUAUUUCUGCCUUUACGUUGACAGUGUUGAAGCAGGGUGAAUAACUAGGGCAUAUAUAUUUUUUUUUUUUUGUAAGCUGUUUCAUGAUGUUUUCUUUGGAAUUUCCGGAUAAGUUCAGGAAAACAUUCUGCAUGUUGUAUCUAGUCUGAUGUACUUAUCCAUCUCAUUACAAACAAAAACACACAGACUGCAUUUGUAGCUCUGUAAUCCUUGAAUACGGAAGUAAAUUUUCUUCUUUCCUGACUUUGACAUUGUAGCUAUACUGUUUCCAUUUUUAUUUUUACAAAUCCUUUGGGUCUAAUUCUGUGAGCCUACCUAUAGCACUGGAUUAAAAUGUCUGCAUCAUUUCUUUAGUUAUCCAGUUAACUUUAAAACUGUUGUAAAAGUGUAAACCAGCCCAUGACAGGUUUUUGUACAUGUUAAAGAACUUCAUUGUUCAGUUUUCAUGAUUAUUGUAUAAGGAAGACUGAUAUAGAUGUUCUAUGCUGUCCUGGACCAUGUUAAUUACACUUACGAUGUAUUUUGGUUCCACAUCACAAUGAUUUGUCCCCAGUGACCCUUUUAUCCUUUCUAGGCACAUUUUUUUUUGUUGUUGUUGUUGCAGUUCCCCUUUGCAUUGUAUUGCUUUGACAACUGUAAUUUGAAUCAGAUCUGAAAGAGGUCCAGAAUAAAAUAUAUUUUGAUAUUAUGUUGGCUGUGUACAUAUAUAAAAUCUUUGAUAUCUAUGUAGUUUAUAUAGACUAUUUACUAGUCAGGUAAAGAGAGAGGGAUGGUAUUUCUUGUUUACAGUUUGUUUACAUUUUAAUUGCUUUUACUUCUCCAGUGUUCUAUUGUAGAAUAAACCUUUUUGUUCCGAGUUAGCCUUCAUAACCUCUAACACAUUCAUUCUCUCCCAUACUGGUGUUACUGAUUAUAACUGCCAUCAGAACCCAAACCACUGUUUUUCAUAAACGUAUUGUUUCCCAAGAUAUAUACUUUAAGCCCAUAAUAAAAUUACAAAUUUUACUAUUUUUAUUACUUCUUGCAGGAGAUAAGAUUUUUUUAAGUGAAGGGGUUAUUUACUAUUUUUAUUAAAGUAUAAUAGAGCAUCUAAUCAGCUAAGGGAUUGUAAUUUUUAAUUCUUUUGAAAAAUAAAUAUUGUAUUUAAAAGACGUUAUUUCACAUAAGCUAAAAAAGAGACUUUAGAUAACAUUUGUUUGGUUAGCCACACGGUUGAGCACAAAACAGUGUGUAGAUGUGUUGAAGAUUAGGGCAGGAGGCUCAACUUCUCGGUGACCUUUUUUUGCUUCACAACAAGCCAAUUAUAGUUGGAUCAUUUUCUCUCUUAGCUAGUUGUUACUACAAACUUUGUAAGAAAAACAACUAGACACCUUCUAGUUUUAAUUAAUACCAACUCCUUUAGAGUUAGAGACUUUUUAAAAAGAAUCAUUGAGCAUAUUUUCUUUUUUUUUUUUUUUAAGAACGUACACUCUCUAGGUCUUCUAUUUUUCCUGUUUAUUUCCUUAAACGGAAAUAAAUCCAAGCAUAGUUUUAUGUUUUAUUAGAAAUAAGCCACUGCAGUUGCUAGAACUGACAUGCUUUCAUUUUCAAGGGGUUAACUUUUAUUGCAUGGCAUAGAUUAUUAGUAAUAUCCUGCAUUGUAUACUUUUCCAAAAAGGGUUGGACUCCUAAGGAUUAGAAUCCUUAUAAGCUUGAGGGAAAGCUGAAAUUAAUUUGAACAGUAAUAGAAGGGAUUAUUUUUAAUUUCAUAGUUAACACUUUACAAUGGAUUAGAUUUAUUACCUAGUAUAAUCCGUAGCAGAUCAGAUCAAAGUUUACUGUUUUACCAAUAUAUUCAUUUGAAAAAAUACAGUGGAGGAAAAGACACUUUAGAUGGUAGUUUUAUGGUGCUUUUCUCUGCUGUACCAAAGUGCUUUGUCAUCAAUGAAAUGUUAACCCUAUGCUACUUUUUCUGCAUGCUUCUUAAAUGUCAUCUUAAUGCUUAAUUGUCCUAACUUGUAAUAUUUUUGUAUUAAAUUUUUUUAGGAGUUCCUUGUAAUUUCUUUACAAUUUAAAAUAUAUUAAACACAAAGUGUUUAGUAAAGUACAGAAGACAAUUACUAA
rnacentral:sRNA from 1 species